rnacentral:rRNA from 1 species
AGAGUUCGAUCCUGGCUCAGGAUGAACGCUGGCGGCGCGCCUAACACAUGCAAGUCGAACGGCACCUAUCUUCGGAUAGAAGCGAGUGGCGAACGGCUGAGUAACACGUGGAGAACCUGCCCCCUCCCCCGGGAUAGCCGCCCGAAAGGACGGGUAAUACCGGAUACCCCGGGGUGCCGCAUGGCGCCCCGGCUAAAGCCCCGACGGGAGGGGAUGGCUCCGCGGCCCAUCAGGUAGACGGCGGGGUGACGGCCCACCGUGCCGACAACGGGUAGCCGGGUUGAGAGACCGACCGGCCAGAUUGGGACUGAGACACGGCCCAGACUCCUACGGGAGGCAGCAGUGGGGAAUCUUCCGCAAUGGGCGAAAGCCUGACGGAGCAAUGCCGCGUGAGUGAUGAAGGAAUUCGUUCCGUAAAGCUCUUUUGUUUAUGACGAAUGUGCAGAUUGUGAAUAAUGAUUUGUAAUGACGGUAGUAAACGAAUAAGCCACGGCUAACUACGUGCCAGCAGCCGCGGUAAUACGUAGGUGGCGAGCGUUGUCCGGAAUUAUUGGGCGUAAAGAGCAUGUAGGCGGUUUUUUAAGUCUGGAGUGAAAAUGCGGGGCUCAACCCCGUAUGGCUCUGGAUACUGGAAGACUUGAGUGCAGGAGAGGAAAGGGGAAUUCCCAGUGUAGCGGUGAAAUGCGUAGAUAUUGGGAGGAACACCAGUGGCGAAGGCGCCUUUCUGGACUGUGUCUGACGCUGAGAUGCGAAAGCCAGGGUAGCGAACGGGAUUAGAUACCCCGGUAGUCCUGGCCGUAAACGAUGGGUACUAGGUGUAGGAGGUAUCGACCCCUUCUGUGCCGGAGUUAACGCAAUAAGUACCCCGCCUGGGGAGUACGUCCGCAAGGAUGAAACUCAAAGGAAUUGACGGGGGCCCGCACAAGCGGUGGAGUAUGUG